rnacentral:lncRNA from 1 species
CACAGCCUGGUCCUGCCACAGGCACUCAGAACUCAGGCCCCUGCCCCCUUGCUGGUGGGGGGAUAGGGGUGGAAGAGAUGAGAGUUUGGCCGUCUCAAUCCUACCAGUUGGUGGUGGACCCUGCUUCUCUACCUCAGCUUCUCCUGCUUAUGGUCAGGAGAUCUCAACACAGGAAGCACUAGCGUUCAUAUGCUGACCCAAUUGUGGCUCGUUUCCAGCCUCUGUCCUUCAUUCCCGGCUAAUGCUGCUUGCCCCCCUCCCCAGUGUCCUUGAGAUCUCAGAAAAGGGGGCUGUCAAUGUAGAUGUAUAGGUGCAGGGAGUUCCCAUCGUGGCUUAGUGGUAACAAACCCAACUAGUAUCCUUGAGGACUCGGGUUCGAUCCCUGGCCCUGCUCAGUGGGUUAAGGAUCCAUUGUGGCUAAGAGCAGUGUAGGUCACAGACACAGCUCAGACCUGGUGUGGCUGUGGCUGUGGUAUAGGCUGGUAGCUGCAGCUCCAAUUUGACCCUUAGUCUGGGAACUUCCCUAUGCCAUGGGUGCAGCCCUGAAAAAAAAAAAAAAAAAAAAAAAGAUGUAAGCAUACUUUUUUGCUGGUGCUGGGUCUGAUGCAGGGGUAAAGAUCUGGCAGAUGGUGGGACCAUGUUCGCUGGUGGGUAGUUAACUAUAAUUCAGGUGGAGAUUGGAUCUAGCCUGAAAACGAAGACCUCUGUAGGAUGAUUGGACAGUCUCAUUGUGUUCUGGAGUUCUGGAGGCCCAGAUUCAAAUUCCUCAGAGGAGUGAUUGCAGGAAAAAGAGGACUGGAUAAAGAGUGGAGAGACCUAGAUUCUCGCCCUAGUUCUGCUAACAACUCAUAGGGACCCUGGAUAAGUCACAUAACUGUUUUAAAUUGUACCCUCAUAUUUUAAAUGAGGGUUUGGAGGAAAUCACUGUUUUUCAACCAGACUACCCGUCAGAGGAAUUACCUGAACUGCUUGUGUGUGUAUAUGUAUGUGUGUGUACAGAAUUUUAGGCCUCAACUCUCAACCAUCUAUCAGAAUUUCCAAAAGCAGAUCUCAGGAAUUUGUGUUUGAAAAAGGUUCCCAAGUGAUUCUGAUGGAGCCCCAGUUCUAGAAUGUCUAAGACAUUUCCUUACUAGCCGCAGAGUUUCAUGAAAUAUGUUCAAAUCAGAGGUGGAUUGUUUUAGAAACUUGUUUUCUUUUCUUUCUUUUUUUUUCCACUUGUUCAAAACACCUUCAACUUAAUAAAAGUUAUUAGGUUCCUGGAAGUGUAAUGUCACUUGAGUCUACAUCCCUCAAUGCCUUUUCUUUUUUUCUACUGUCUACUCUUGAAAACUUAGUAGAAUUCCACAUUGGCUCAUUUUCAAAUUCUCUUUUUAUGCAUUCUGCUAAUUUUAAACCCAGUAUAUAGUCUACCCUUCUUCCUCAAUAACCAAAAGCCUGACUUCUUUUUAGGGUAUAGUAAUGUGCCAAGCUGAAAGACUCUAUUUCCCAGCUCUUUUUCACCUCGAUAUGGGCUAGUGACUUAAGCUUUAGUCAGUGAAAGGUAAACUGUUACGUGUGGGGCUUAUGGGAAGGUUCCAGGGACAAUUUGUGCAGACAAUGCAUCCCUUUUGCUUUUUCUCUGUCUUACCUAUUACUUGGAACAUGGACACAAUGGCUGAAAUCCAGUAGCUACCUUGGAUCAUGAGGUAACUGUGAUAAUGGCAGCCAUGCUCCAGGUAGGUGAAGCACGAAGAAAGGAGGAGCCUGGAUCCCUGAUGACCAUGGAGCCAUGAUACUAGCCAUGGACAGCUUACCUCCAUAUUUCUUUCUUACUGUUUAAGCCAAAGUUACUUUGGAUUUCCCAUUUUAAGCAGCCAAACCCAAAGUACUGCUACUCCUGUUGUUUGAAGGCCUCACAGUAUGUCCUCCACAUAAUCUUGAAGGUGACUUGCACAUAGUGGGUGCUCUGUUAAGUGUCUGACAAAGUUAAAUGCCCAAUGGCAUUGAGGUGGAGCGUUUAAAGGCUCCAGCUCCUCUGACCUCUGCCCUUCCUGCCUAGAUUAAAUUACUCAUAGAGGUCUUGGUUUUCCUAUCCCAGCCACCAGGAAGGUAUUUCGCAGUGUAGGGCUUUAGGGCUAUAGGCUCAAAUGUUUUGAUAAGGGAGUGGGUCUUUGAGAUUCUAACUGCAUGCAUCCAUUAUUUCAAAUGAAAAUUGAAGGGCUGGGCACUUUUCUGAAUCUACUCAAGAAACUGGAAGUGGUGGUUUGAGUGAUGUCAGAAAAGACCACCAUGGAGUCUUGUGCUAUCAUUUGGAGGCAGUACUUUCCACAGUGCCUGCCAGGAAUUUGAUGUCAGGAGAGUCUUUUGAAAGCAAAUGUUAGGGAGCCUUGAUUGCCAGCUAUUGACAAGGGGGUCUGCCUUCUCAGUGGCAGCCUCAGAGGUGGUCUUGGCCAGACCAACCUGCCCCUGACUCAUGCUGAGCUCUGUCGGCCAGGCCGACACACCCCUCUUUGGGGCCCAGUACAACAUGUUGGUUUCCUGGAAGAAUUUAGGCCAAAACUUUGCUGCUAAGAAAAUGAUACAUAUAUUUUUUUGCAAGUAUGGCCUAAUGAGAGUGUGUUUAAAAAAACUCUCUCUCCCUCAAAAGUGAAGUUCCUUUCAAAGNAA